AGGAUUCGAAAAUUCUGUGAAAGUUCCCAGAGAUAAUUAUACACUCAUGAUCAUUUCUGAUACGGAUAAGAUCAUACGUUUUUCACCGGGCUACAACCAAAAAAUUUCUGAAGUUAAUUUUUUCACAAAAUUUUACGUUUUGUUUUUUCAAUCAACUACAAUUCUUCUAUUAUGCAUCUAAUUUUUCGUAAAAAUAGGUGUUUGAAAAAUGUUUGCAAGGCCUAGAACAUGAAAAAAAUUGCAUGGAAAAGCGAGGUAAAAUUUGGUCAUUCUUAAUAUCAACGCAUUCAAAAAUUUAGGAAAUAUAAUUAGUUCAGUGAUAAAAUUAUUGUUUUUGUAUCUCAGUCUAUGAUCAAUAGAUGGAGAGCAAUACAAAUAUCUCAUUCUGUCAUAGAAAUCAUUUUGAAGACGAUAUAUAUUCGAAUAGAAAUAGUGUCGGAAUUCUUCUGUUCAGAGAAAAAGUAAAUCGAAGAGACUCGUAGUUUAUCUACUACAAAACUUUUAGAUUUUGUAGUAUUCAUAUGGAGAACGGCUGUCUGUUUCUCAUUUGCCGCAGUGGGAUAUUAUGCAGCUAAUUACAUUAUAAAGUGGUUGACGGAGAAGAAAGACGACCAUAAAAAUCAAGCUCCACCAAGGAAAGAAGACUAGAGUAGCAACGAAAGAAAAAUUAAAUGAGAAAUAAGUUUUUACAACCAAUAAUCAAUCACAGAGGGCGAGAAAUAAACUGCUGACGAAACAACUUUAGUGAACAUAGGCAAUGACAAGAUAUAGAUUUUGGUAUAAAAAUUAAAUGUCUAUUUUGUUAAAAUUUUGAUUGUUAGAAUUAUUUAAGUUUGAUUGUUAUUGGACUCUAAAAAAUGUAAUAACCAUAUUUUAAUGGAUAAUUGUUUUUUGAUUGAGAAGAAUUAGUUUAAUUUUGUUUCGUAUGCAAUUUAAUAACAUCAUUAAUUGCCUGGUUAUAUUUUAUAUAUAAAUGCGCGUUUUUAAUACGAUUAGAUCAUAAACCACUUCAUCGUAAUCUACAUCCGACUCGUUCACGUGUACAUUUUUUAUGCUUUAUGACGUGUUAUUUUAUACAACAAAUUUGACAUCAUCUUUUAUACAAAAAUAUGACAAUAGAGAAGCGAUUGAUUAAA